AAUAUAUUUUAUUCUGGUUUUAGGUAGCAUAGCAGCCUAGUAUCCUCAUAGAGACUGUGAUGCAUUAAAGUAGAUAGUAAGUUUUUAUUACUAGUUGUGCUAGAGGAGAAUACUUAGACAAUGACUUUUCGUUAAUCUGGCUAGUUGCUUGUUAGGAGGAAAAAGCUCAGUGCCAGCAUCCGCGGUUAAACUGAUUUCCUGUGCUUCGGUUCAGAAAAAACGUUUGAUGUUGUUCUAUAAGGGUAGUUUAGAUAAAAUUUAUUAACUUCUUUUUGAUACGUAUACAAUAUUUGAUAGAAGUUUAAAUGAGACUACGGGGAUUAGAGACCCCCCUAGUAUAAAAAAAACUUUGUGUUUCUACAGUUAAACUGAAAGGAAUUGGCAGUUAAUUAUAUUCUUUUAGGGGAGUGUGUGGCUUAAAAGAUGUUCCACUUAUAAACUUACCAUAUUUAGUUAAGUCAGUGUAUAUCCGGUUAAAAAUUUUAGACGAUUGUCUCAAAUAAAUUUAGUUUUAAAAUUAAGCUAGGUCAAUGUGCUGCUGAUACUAUGGUUGUCAUGCUCUACAAUUCAAAUAUGACGUUUGUAAGAGUGUUUUAUUUGGGACUUAACAGUAAUCAAAUUAGUAGUUAGAAUAUUUGAAUUAAGAUUUGGUUAGUGUACACAUCGCCCGUCACCUUCGACUAUUUCGUUGAAGCAAGUCGUAACAUGGUAGCCGUAGAGGAAUCUACGGCUAGUAUAUU
rnacentral:rRNA from 1 species